UCAAAACUUUAGCGUAUUUAAAGGACAGAAAGGAUUAGUAAGCGGUCAUAGUUUCAUGUUCUUAAAAAAGUCUUGAUUUUAAAUUUCAUAAUACUUAUUUGUUGUGUCUUGACUUAAGUUCGAUCAUAUUGACAUGUUCUCAUAUUAAUGGAAACAAAAUAAACAAAUACUGCGAAUUC
rnacentral:sRNA from 1 species